rnacentral:rRNA from 1 species
UACGAAGGGGGCUAGCGUUGUUCGGAUUUACUGGGCGUAAAGCGCACGUAGGCGGAUCGUUAAGUCGGGGGUGAAAUCCUGGAGCUCAACUCCAGAACUGCCUUCGAUACUGGCGAUCUUGAGUCCGGAAGAGGUGAGUGGAACUCCUAGUGUAGAGAUGGAAUUCGUAGAUAUUAGGAAGAACACCGGUGGCGAAGGCGGCGACCUGGUCCUUUUACUGACGCUGAGGCGCGAAAGCGUGGGGAGCAAACAGG